AGCGUAGGCGGCUUUUUAAGUCGGAUGUGAAAUCCCCGGGCUCAACCUGGGAAUGGCAUUCGAUACUGGGGAGCUAGAGUUUGGGAGAGGGUGAUGGAAUUCCCGGUGUAGCGGUGAAAUGCGUAGAGAUCGGGAGGAACAUCAGUGGCGAAGGCGGUCACCUGGCCUAAAACUGACGCUGAAGCUCGAAAGCGUGGGGAGCAAACAGGAUUAGAUACCCUGGUAGUCCACGCCCUAAACGAUGAGAACUGGACGUUGGGAGGAAUUUGCCUCUUAGUGUCGAAGCUAACGCGUGAAGUUCUCCGCCUGGGGAGUACGCUCGCAAGAGUGAA
rnacentral:rRNA from 1 species